CGGGGUAUAGCGCAGCUUGGUAGCGCACUUGGUUUGGGCCCAGGGGGUCGUCAGUUCGAGUCUGGCUACCCCGA
rnacentral:tRNA from 4 species